AUGCUCUGUGUCCCUAGACCACCUGCCAAACCUCCUGAAGAUUAUGAUAAGUGUAUCCUUGUUUUCGUAAGAAUGCAGGCGAUCACUCCAGCAUCAUCACCAAGCUGUGCGCUUACCACGUUGAAGCCACUGUUUGAGAUGCUACAUCUGCCGAUGCGAGGAAACUACGGUGCACUGUCUGAUUCUUCAGGUUGUCCUCUGCCUUCACACCUUGGUAGUUUUUCCGUGCUUAAAUGGUAUCUUCAAAUUACACUCAUUUCUCUAGCCGCACCCCGGGGCCAGUGCAGUUGUGAACAUUUUCAACCUUGGAUCACUAGCACAAAAGUACUAUAUUUCACUGACUUUGCCAGUGGAAGUCGACAUAUGUCCCAAUUACAUUUUCAUGCUUGUCAUAGUGGCAGCCGGACAGUGACUCGAGAAACAUCUUCUAUUGGCACAUUGCAUACACAUGCAGGUUGUAUGGCCUAUCUGAAUCUUAUCAGCAUUACUUUGAGGUGUUCAGAAGCAAUACAUGGGGUGCAUGUGACCUACAAGAGUGUACAGUCUUAUGUAUCCUAUAUGGUGCAUGCUCCUGCAUGUAGUAUUCCUGGUGAGAAAUUCCAAAGGAAAAUUCAGCUUAUGCGCGUGUCAGUGCACGGGGAAAUUUUUAGAGAAGGGUGUUUUAAUGGGAGUGUCUGUUACACUUGGGAAUGCAAUUCUGACAAGCCUCAGCAGGCUUGCUGUUGUACACUCAACCAAGUUUAUCACAAGCUGGACAACUUCAUUUCAUUGUCAGUUAAGCAUCACUUGUCACUCACUGAACCUGAACCUGGAGUGGACACAUGCAAGCAUGAACAAAAAACUGGCGAUUCAAGAGUUGGAGUUCGACUUAUUAUCCUGAUCAUCGUAACCCUUCUGAACGAUCUACCAGAGAAAUCCUUGCUUGACGAUGCUACUGGAACCAUUCACCAUUUGAUACGGACACCUAUUGGUGCUGAGUUGCAGCAACAUGACCAAAUAGCUCAUAGGGACAAUCCCAUUCAUCAUUUAGUGAAGCAACAAAUGUCACUCUCUGAACCUGAUGAGAAUGCAAACAUGCAUGAACACAUCCAAGUUGCAAAUGUGCGCAGGUCAUGGGACCCUGGGAGCGCUACCAUGCCAACUUCUCAUCUUCAGCUGGCCAAAAAUGUAGUGGCGAUGGUCAGCAGCAAGGAAGCACGAGCCAUGGGUGGAAUGGUGUCUUGUACCCUCUCCUGCCAAGAGCAUGUUCAAGAAGGGGGGGUCUGUCAUCGUUGUCACUGUCGGCUUCGUGCAACACUUCGUCGACAGCUUCAACAUCUGCUUUCUCGGCAUCUCCUUCGACUCGGGCACCAUCGUCCACGACUACUACUCCCACGUCGUUCCAGCCAGCAUCGACUUCAGCUCCCAUGGCGACUUCGAGCUAGUCAAGGACCAUCGAGUGCAAUGGGAUCCGGGUGGUUCUCGGCGGCGGCGGCUUGA
rnacentral:rRNA from 1 species